rnacentral:lncRNA from 1 species
AUGGUGUGGUCCUUCUGCCGCUGCACGAAGAAUUUCACGGGGCCGAUCUUCAUCUGGUGGGCCUCCUGCUGCCGCUCCUCCUGGGCCAACUUCUUCAGGCGCUCCCGCUCUGGAUGCUGCUGCGGCGUGAUGGGCACCGACUCCUCCUGCUCCUCCAGCGGCGUGGGCUGCAAAGUCUCGCUGGGGGUCUUUGUCCCCGGCUGCUGGCGCUGCAGCGUCUUGGCCCCGCUGGCUUGGGGCCGGAGCCUGUCCUGGGGCCGCACGGCACGGGCACAGGCACGAGGCUUCAUGGGGAGGGGCUCCGGCAGCAGCAGCGUUCUGCAAAGAGGCUGCGCCCUGCUCCUAGCCCCCCAGCAGUCCCCGGGCUUCGCCCUCUCUUGCUGGGCGCCCUGGUGCUGUCGCUCACCGGCUGCUGCCUGCCACUGCCCGCUUGGCUGCUGCUGCCAGCCAGCGAGCUGUGGCCACCUGUCUUACCCUGGCGCAGCGUCUUGGGGCCUUGGCCAGCCUGGACCAGCAGCAGCGUCUUCUCCUUGCCAGGGGUCUUGUCUGUCGUUGGCCUCCUGUGCUGGGAGCUCUGCGCUGUGCUGGGGGUGCCGGUGGGCGCGGGGCGCUUGGUCCCCCACUUGGUGCCGGUGGGCGCAGGGGCAGGCGGGGGGCUCUGAAGGGGACUGCGAAGGGGACUGGGCAGGGCUCUCCUCAGGGCUGGGAGAAGUUGAGUCCUCUUGAGGGGAGCCAAGGGAGGCUGGGGCAGGGGUCUCCUGCGGGCAGGGUCGGGGAGGCUCUGGAGGGGACUCAAGCGAGGCUUGGGCAGGGCUCUCCUGAGGGCAGUGAGGAAGUCAGGGUCGGGGGGGCUCUGGACGGGAGCCGAGGGAGGCUUGGGCAGGGGUCUCCUGCGGGCAGGGAGCCAGUCAGGGUCGGGGGGCCUCUUGAGGGGAGCCAAGGGAGGCUGGGGCAGGGUUCUCUUGCGGGCAGGGGCCAGGCAGCCACCGUUGGCGGCACGGCUGCAACGACGAAGGGGGAGUUUUGCGUCUGCGCGACCCGCAGAAGCCGUCUGGGGAAACCCUCUGUGGGAAAAAGGGCGCUGGGCUGAGCUCUGGGGCGCUGGGCUCGCCAGCAGGGCCGCAGCCCCGGGAGGAGCGGGAGCCGGCUGCUGGACCUGCCAUGGUGGCUGGAGAGUGUGGGGCGGUUGCUUGGGGAACCCGCGCAACGGCGGUUCCAUCCCAAUGGCUGACCAGCCCCUCGCUGACAUCUUGGGGAGGACUGCAGGCUUUGGAGCCAAGCAGGCUGCCCAGCGCAAGACUUGGCCAUCCCCAGCAGGCUUGCCCUCCCAUGCAGCACUUGCCAUGCUGUCGUGGUUUAACCCGGCCGGCAGCUAAACACCACGCAGCCGUUCGCUCACCCUCCCCCCUCCCUCUCUGGGACGGGGGAGGGAAAUGGAGAGUGAAGCCUGUGAGUUGAGAUAAAGACAGUUUAAUAAGACAGGAAAAUAAUAAUAACAAAAAUAAUAAUAACAAUAAUAAUAAUAAUGAUACAAUGGUGAUAAUACGAAAGUAAUAGUAUGUACAAACAAGUGAUGCACAAUGCAAUUGCUCACCACCCGCUGACCGAUGCCCAGCCUCACCCCGAGCAGUCUGGCCCCCUCCCCCCAGCUAGCCACCCCUAUAUAUUGUUUAGCAUGACGUCAGAUGGUAUGGAAUACCCCUUUGGCUAGUUUGGGUCACCUGUC